UACCAGCACCCCGAGUGGUCGGACGUUUAUUGGGCCUAAAGCAUCCGUAGCCGGUUCUACAAGUCUUCCGUUAAAUCCACCUGCUUAACAGAUGGGCUGCGGAAGAUACUAUAGAGCUAGGAGGCGGGAGAGGCAAGCGGUACUCGAUGGGUAGGGGUAAAAUCCGUUGAUCCAUUGAAGACCACCAGUGGCGAAGGCGGCUUGCCAGAACGCGCUCGACGGUGAGGGAUGAAAGCUGGGGAGCAAACCGGG
rnacentral:rRNA from 1 species